GUCUACAGCCAGACCACCCUGAACAUGCCUGAUCCCAAUUGUUCUUGGAAACUAAGCAGGGUUGGGCCUAGUCAGAACUUGGAUGAGAGACCACCUGGGAAUGCUGGAUGCCAUGGACU
ensembl:rRNA 5S_rRNA 5S ribosomal RNA